GAUGAACGCUGGCGGCGUGCCUAACACAUGCAAGUCGAGCGAACGGACGAGAAGCUUGCUUCUCUGAUGUUAGCGGCGGACGGGUGAGUAACACGUGGGUACCCUACCUAUAAGACUGAGAUAACUUCGGGAAACCGGAGCUAAUACCGGAUAAUAUUUUGAACCGCAUGGUUCAAAAGUGAAAGACGGUCUUGCUGUCACUUAUAGAUGGAUCCGCGCUGCAUUAGAUAGUUGGUAAGGUAACGGCUUACCAAGGCAACGAUGCAUAGCCGACCUGAGAGGGUGAUCGGCCACAUUGGAACUGAGACACGGUCCAGACGCCUACGGGAGGCAGCAGUAGGGAAUCUUACGCAAUGGGCGAAAGCCUGACGGAGCAACGCCGCGUGAGUGAUGAAGGUCUUCGGAUCGUAAAACUCUGUUAUUAGGGAAGAACAUAUGUGGAAGUAAACGUGCACAGAUUGACGGUACCUAAUCAGAAAGCCACGGCUAACUACGUG
rnacentral:rRNA from 1 species